rnacentral:piRNA from 1 species
UCCAGAAAUGAUAUGGUCGUUGAACAU